GAUGAACGCUGGCGGCGUGCCUAAUACAUGCAAGUCGAGCGAACAGACGAGGAGCUUUCUCCUCUGACGUUAGCGGCGGACGGGUGAGUAACACGUGGAUAACCUACCUAUCAGACUUGGAUAACUUCGGGAAAACGGUGCUAAUACCGGAUAAUAUAUUCAACCGCAUGGUUCAAUAGUGAAACAAGGUUUUGCUGACACUGAUAGAUGGAUCCGCGCCGCAUUAGCUAGUUGGUAAGGUAACGGCUUACCAAGGCAACGAUGCGUAGCCGACCUGAGAGGGUGAUCGGCCACACUGGAACUGAGACACGGUCCAGACUCCUACGGGAGGCAGCAGUAGGGAAUCUUCCGCAAUGGGCGAAAGCUUGACGGAGCAACGCCGCGUGAGUGAAGAAGGUCUUCGGAUCGUAAAACUCUGUUAUUAGGGAAGAACAAAUGUGUAAGUAACUAUGCACGUCUUGACGGUACCUAAUCAGAAAGCCACGGCUAACUACGUG
rnacentral:rRNA from 1 species